GCCGGGUGUGGUGGCUGCACACCUGUAAUCCCAGCAGCUCAGGAGGCUGAGACAGGAGGAUCGUGAGUUCAAAGCCAACCUCAGCAAAAGUGAGGUGCUAAGCAACUCAGUGAUGCCCUGUCUCUA
rnacentral:sRNA from 1 species